AUUGAACGCUGGCGGCAGGCCUAACACAUGCAAGUCGAACGGUAACAGGAAGAAGCUUGCUUCUUUGCUGACGAGUGGCGGACGGGUGAGUAAUGUCUGGGAAACUGCCUGAUGGAGGGGGAUAACUACUGGAAACGGUAGCUAAUACCGCAUAACGUCGCAAGACCAAAGAGGGGGACCUUCGGGCCUCUUGCCAUCGGAUGUGCCCAGAUGGGAUUAGCUAGUAGGUGGGGUAACGGCUCACCUAGGCAACGAUCCCUAGCUGGUCUGAGAGGAUGACCAGCCACACUGGAACUGAGACACGGUCCAGACUCCUACGGGAGGCAGCAGUGGGGAAUAUUGCACAAUGGGCGCGAGCCUGAUGCAGCCAUGCCGCGUGUAUGAAGAAGGCCUUCGGGUUGUAAAGUACUUUCAGCGGGGAGGAAGGGAGUAAAGUUAAUACCUUUGCUCAUUGACGUUACCCGCAGAAGAAGCACCGGCUAACUCCGUG
rnacentral:rRNA from 1 species